rnacentral:rRNA from 1 species
CCUACGGGGUGCAGCAGUGGGGGAUAUUGCACAAUGGGGGAAACCCUGAUGCAGCGACGCCGCGUGGGCGAAGAAGUAUUUCGGUAUGUAAAGCCCUAUCAGCAGGGAAGAAGAAAUGACGGUACCUGAGUAAGAAGCACCGGCUAAAUACGUGCCAGCAGCCGCGGUAAUACGUAUGGUGCAAGCGUUAUCCGGAUUUACGGGGUGUAAGGGGAGCUCAGGCGGCACGGCAGGCAUGAUGUGAAAGCCCGCGGCCCAACGGCGGGACUGCAUUGGGUACUACCGGGCUGGAGUGCCGGAGAGGUAGGCGGAAUGUCUGGUGUAGCGGUGAAAUGCGUAGAGAUCAGAAGGAACACCAGUGGCGAAGGCGGCCUACUGGACGGUGACUGACGCUGAGGCACGAAAGCGUGGGGAGCAAACAGGAUUAGAUACCCGAGUAGUC